rnacentral:lncRNA from 13 species
UUCAUAUUAUAAAUAACCUUCUUAUGUAAGACUGCUUCUGUUCAUUUCAGGAGGAAAUUCAUUUAUGCUUAUAUGACAAAGGCUCUCUUCUCUGUUGACACUUCUUGAAAGCUUUUGAAAUUCUUUGAGGGAGAAUGCCCUAUCCACUUGGAAAUAAGGCCUAUUUGAAUUCGCCCCCUUUGUCCUUCCAAAUGUCACUGGAUGAGGGAGAGGACUUGGCAGAAGAAUGCAGUCGGUUUUGGCAGAAGCGUCCAAAAGUCUCAGACCCCCUGAUAUACAAUAUCAAAGGAUUUUGAAGAAAAAGAUGUGCAGGGAAUGUGCCUGAUGCUACCAAUAAUAAAGAGAAAAGCAGCAUCAACCAAAAUGGGGAUUCCCCUGAGCCAUUAUGAUGGGUAUUUUAAAAAUGGAGCCACCUAAUUGCAUGGAGGCAGCACCAUGUUUGCUGGCUCCUUCAUCUAAGAGGUUGAAAUUUGACAACAUAUUUUCACUUCACUUUGGUGACUGAUAAGAAUGAUCAGGUUGGAUCUGAUUUUUGUUGCGUGAACAAGACCCCUUAAGAAAACUCUGACCAUACCUCAAGCCUAGUAUGUCAUCUGUUCUCCCUUUUUAAUAAAAUCCAGUGCCAAAUACA